GACUGUAAUGGUCCAACGGUGAAGGCUCUCGUUUAUCGCGCCUCUCCCAAAUUCCCAUCCCCGUCAGAUCCCCCUCGCCGGCGCCCGGCCCGAACGCCGCGGUGGCUGCCCGCUCGCACAGGCAACUUGCGACGCCGGGUCACGCCCUAAGCAAUGGAGAUGACACUUGAGGGAGGCUUCACUCUGCAGAGGCAUCUCCCCCGUCGCGUGGCGGGCCGGAUUACGAUCGCGGGGGGCUUGGGUUGGGGAGGCGAGAUGGAGAAGCCAACACCUUUUUU
rnacentral:SRP_RNA from 1 species